UUUUUUUUUUUUUUCCUUCUUAGUGGUACAUAAAAUAAUGGUGUGCUCUAUAAACCGUUAACAUCUUAGGUUCAUUGAAAUAACGAUGUUUCCUAGAAUGCCAUUUCCUGAAUUCUAGCCCAUGUAUUGACUGCAAUUCUACCUUUCUGGCAAAUUUACAGAGAAACAAAGAAUAGCAAUCAUCCUCAGCCCAGUGGACGAUGUGUUUCUCAACUCUGCCUCCCAGCCUCUGAUCUCACAUAGCAUAAAGGUUUUGAUAUUGAGGCUUGAUGAAUUAUCAAACCUCUGAGAAGUCCAGAGGCUCCCUGAGUAGGAUGCAGAGGACAUUGCUGCUUGGAGGGACAGUUCUCCUUAGCUGGGGCAAUUGCGUGCUUUACCUACAAGUCUUGAUGGAGUAACUGAGAAUAGGCCUUAAAAUAUGAUUCCAGGAAGAAAUCAGGCUGCAAUUGAAUACAAAUUCAAUAAAGUAGGAACACGUGACCCACAGCACUGCUGCUGUUUUCAUUCAAGCUGCUGAUGGCUAACACCACAGGGGCACAUGGCCUUGCUGGGCAAGCUGGUGAGGUGGCUCCUCUGAUUAGGCCGUGGAUGCACAGGACUUUAUUUAAGAAGAGUUGAAGGUGCUUAAAUGUGUCAAGUCCCCCAAAUGAAAGUAAGCAUGGUCUUCUUGUGUAAUAUGUAUAUAAAACGUAAUACUGCUUUUCUUUUUUUUAAUUAAAAAAAAAUUUUUUUAAAUACUGCUUUUCAAAUACCAUCUUCCCAGUGUUGUGCUGAUGGAUAAAUGGCUUGAGGGUGGUUUCUGUGAAGAUGAGUUUAGAACUCUGUCCUCGAAGUUGAAAAAAAAAAUUAACUUAAGUAAAAUCUAAUGGUCUGUUAAUGGGUUAUAUACAUAAAGGGUAGGAAUCAGAAUCAGAGAUGGACAAAGAAACUAUUGAGGUGGAGAUUUUAUUCUAAAGAUAGUUCACGUGCUGUGCUAGGUGUCUUCCUUUUGUUACUUGGUCCCUCUCACCUCCCUCAUUCUUUUUUUUUUUACACCUUGCUCUGCUCUGAAAGUUGACCUGUGUGGAUCCCACAAAGGAUCUGUCUUCUGGUUUCCACUUGUGUCUGCUCAGUAAGAAGCCCAGUGGAUCAGAGGAGGGGAAUGAAUGAGGCCUAGGACUCCUGGCCCUGAGGCUAUCUGCUGCAAGGUUGCCUGAAUGGCUGUAUCCAUCUGUGGGAUCACAGCUCUUCUCAAGAUGUGGUCUCUCCACUUCUCCCUCUAGAUUCUGGUGCUGUUUCUUUCCCUUCCUCCCUUAAGCCUGGUCAGUAUCAGUUUGGCUAAGAAUAAGCUGCAGGUUCCUUCUUUGUCCCUGUGGCUCCCCUAUACACACAGCUUUGUGAAUAAGUUCUCUUACUUCAAGUUCAAUAAGUUACUCUUACUUUGUGAAUAAGUAGUGCCAUCUACUUCCCCCCGAAACCCUGAUGGCUAUAGAUCCAGAUACUUUCAUUUCCAUGGGAGAUGUUGUCUUCUACAACACUUGAAAAUGAGAAAUCGGAAUUGUUUUGGUCCAUUUCAUUAGGCCUGCAUUUCAUAGAUAAAUGCAAAGACCUGACCCUCAAGAUCUAAUUCCCCGACCUUUUUGGGGUGUCCAGAAGUUUGGAUGAGCUCAGAUUGAAUUUUGGGGGUUUGAAACUCUAGGUCUGGGACAAGGAGGGUGAUUUAUUUGGAAAGUGAUGCGUUGGCUUUAGUGUUGUUCAUCUGAAUAAGAUACUUUAGUGAUGACCAUUUCCGUAUCUCUUAUUCUUUAGCUCUUCCAUCCCUUCUCGGACUAAUAAAAUCAGAGACAACUCCUAGCCUGAAAAUUAGUGUGGAAAUCUAAAAAUCUAUUCGUGUAUAAUAGUACAAACUUGCUGGAUAUGAAGUUUGGUGAGUUUGUCUUUCUAAAGAGAAUUAGACUUAACAUUUUGUAGUCACAAUUGCAAGGGAUACCCAAGGGGAAGUAAACGCUUCUGUGGACAGUUGUUGAGGAUGUGUACUGGUACCUGUAGGGGGCACCAUUCAUACAUACUAUUAUUAUGCAGUGCACGACCUGCACCUCUGUGUGCAGGAGUCCAAGGAGGGGCCACGAUUGCCUUCAGUGUUGCUGUGUCAGAAUUCAGGUGGAGUUUAUUGUCCACAUUGUUUUUGGCCCCUCUGCAUUUAAGCUUAUGCGUUAACUUCAAAUAUCUGAUUUAUGGUGUGAAUUUUGCUUUUACUUUUGGCUCUUUAUAUAGUAUAACUAAAUGUUCCCCUUAAAAUGUUUCAGUGUCUGAGAGUAUUCUGUGGUAAAUUCAACUUGGGGAGCACCAGGAUGAAGAGAAGGAACACUGGACCUGGUAUUCGGAGGCCUGGAAUCAAAACUUGACUAGACAUUUGUGAACCAAGUCCUUUAGGACUCUCAGAACCUCAAGUUUCUUAACUGUAAAACAUGACUAAUAGUGGCUUUUUUGUAGAUUUCGGUGGAUAAACAAGAUUACAUAUUUUGAAAGAGCCUGACACACAAUAAAUGCUUGGUAAAUAUUGGUUUACUCUUACAAGGCAAAGCCCAUAAAAGUGAAAUAGCUUCUUAUAAUGCUGUUAUAUGUAAAUUUUUAGAAAGGUGAGACUCUCAGGUGCCAGUUUAGAAAUGUCUUCUUGCGAGAACUGUCCUGAGAGGCUUAAGAGGGCUGUCCAGUUGGAGUUGAAGCUGGCUGCAGAGAUGGAAGUCUGAAGUCUUUGGAUCGAUUAAAAACUGUUCCUGGCUUGUGCUUCUCCCUCUGACAUCUUGAGUCUUCCUAUCUCUCGACAGGGCCAUCUGGUUAGGAGGCAUUUCUCUUUGCAUUCAAAUGUGUACACAGCUGCCUUUUGUGAUUAGAGAGGUCAUAUAGUUAGAGCUGGGUUCUUUCACUCUUCUCCUGAUUUGGAAUUCAUGUCAUCUAGUGAUGCUGGAUGCUGGGAAGGUGAUUUUUAGACCCAAGUGUGGUCCUUCUUGCCAAGAUGCUGAAGUAUCCCCUAUGGAUGGAUGCUCUCAAACAUAAUAUGUGUGAGGUCCAAAAAAAUCUAAGAUAAAACCAUUGCAUGAGAUGCCUGUGGAUGGUUACCCCUGUGAUGGAUUCUCAUUUGCCGGUUUGCUGCUCUCAGCUCUUCUGGUCAUGUCUCUUGAACGUUGUUUUUUUUACAGUGAUGGGGUUGGGGAGUGGGAAGUGAAGGAUGCUAUAGAUUAGAGAAAGGUUUGACUUGAAAAGGGCCACCAUCUAUUCUGCUAAUGAAUUACUCCUGAUUCUUGAAGCCAAACUUUUCCAUCUUCUGUGAUUCCACAAGCAAAACAACCAAGGAGGACGGGUUCCAGUAACAAUAAAGAUAUCUUGCACUUGUAUAAUGCUUUGUACUCUGGAAAGCAGCUUUGCCUGUAUAAUCUUAUUUGACCCUCUUGUAAACCCAAUGAGGUGGUUUGGAAGGCAUUAUUUUCUUUAUUUUACAGCUAUGGAAUCCAAGAAGAUAUUAAGUGUCUCGCCAUGAUCUCAUAGCAUGUAAGUGAUAGAGUCCAGGUCUCCUAGGUCCUAGUCUACUAUUUUUUAUAUUAUACCAAAUCAUCUUGAGCAUUCAUAUUCUUCUUAAAAAGUUUUAUUUUUAUAUUUUUUAAAGAUUUUAUUUAUUCAUGAGAAACACACAGAGAGAAGCAGAGACAUAGGCAGAGGGAGAAGCAGGCUCCCUGUGGGGAGCCCAAUGAGGAACUUUAUUCCAGGGCCCCAGGGUCAUGACCUAAGCCAAAGGCAGACACUCAAUCACUGAGCCACCGAGGUUCCUCUCUUCUUAAAUAUUUUUAAAUGAAUGCUUAUGUAAUAAGUAUCCAUGAUUUAAAAUUCAAGAAGGUAUAAUAGAUAUGGAAUGAAAAGGAAGUCUUCUCCUUUUUCCACUCCCUCAAAAAUGUAUUGACCCUUUCUGGAUGCAAUCACCAUUCCUUGUUUCUAGUGUGUUCCUUUGGUCAUUUACAUUUCCUUUGGUUCCUUUACAUUUAUAAAUGUAAAUGUAUAUCUUUCCCCCUUCUCUAUGGACUUAAAAAAAUAGGCUGUAAGGAAUACCCUAGAGAAGUUUGCCUGGAAAAGUUAGGGAAUGAUCUCACUUAGGGAUUUCUGAGAAAUACAGCUGAUCUUUGUAGCUUACCUUUUGGGGGUCUUAAAAUGGUACGUUUUAGCUUUACGAAUAUAAAAGACAAUAGCUUUGCACUAUAGAUCUUGAAAGUGAUUGAAGCACAUUUUAAAGAGGUUCUUACUGUGAAACUUUUUUCUCAAAUGAUGGUAAUAAUAAUAAUAAAAUAGAAGUAGUAGCUAUAAAAUAAAAUAAAAAUAAAAAAA
rnacentral:lncRNA from 1 species